AUGUUUACUCCAAGUGUUGAUCCUAGAAAUUUCAUUUUGGUUAGAACUUUUCGCUUGGAAUUGUUGUAUAUUUCUCCAUCCCAUGGGCAACUUUCGUAUGCGAACCAAGAAAGAGUAACUCCAACGCUCAAUCGCUCCAUCUCAGAAUCUUCUUUCCGUCGGAAUUUUGCGUCAAUCGAAUUUGGUAAUACGCUGCUUGUGCUAUUAGUGAAGGCACCGAGAGAGUGA